CCAUGUUUCCUUCUCUUCAACGCCAUGAUCGUGUCACUGAUGCAGGCGGGGUUCGCCUGUCUGGAGGCAGGUUGUGUCAACUCCAAGAACGUCACCAACAUCAUUAUGAAAAAUGUGCUGGACCUGUUCAUAUGUGGGAUCUUCUACUGGCU